GUAUUCAUAAUAAAUAAAUAAAAUCUUUUUUAAAAAAGAACAUGUUAUAAAAAAGAAAAAAGAAAGAUUGAUGACACUAAACUGUACAGGGACAACUGGAAAUACCCACUGCAGAGAAGAACAGAUGGGGGCCAGGCUGAAUCCAGUCAUUGUGUGAACUCAGGAGAUGGGGGUGCUCCCUCCCCCAGGCUCCUCAUCUGGGUGGCCUCUUGCUGUUCCUUCUGUCAGUUCUGUUCAGAGAAAUCUGCAAAUGCCAUAUCAGGCAGACAUUGGAGGAAAUCAGCCCAGACAGCAGACACUUAUUCCUGCUUAGAAGGUCAUGCAGUUCUAGCUGCAAGACUUACCCAAGAUGCGGGAUGCUGCUGACUGAACAGCCUCUACCAGGAUGCCAUCUCCUUUCCCUAACUUAAAGACUGGUUUGAAAUAAUGAGCAUCACCAGAGUGGGAAUCCCACCUUUCCUAAGCAACUCAGAGCUCCAGAGCCACAACAGUGGCUUCAUCCAUCUACCCAGGCAUCUGCUAUUUUGGUACCCAGAACUAAGCCUGCUGGGCCACAUAGAGCCCAUCUCCAUGAAUUUGCAGGAGAUGCUGAGAAUGGAUUUAUAAUUCCAACAGGGUUUUGUCAGGCUCUGAGUAACUCUUACCUUCUUAAUCAUCUCAGUUCCUAGGGCCUUUGAGAACCUCUAGUGCCUUCUAGUCUGACAUGUGGCUCCACCAAGGAUAACCUUAUGAAUGAGCUCACAGCUCAACACAGAACCAGUUCCAUUAAUUGGUGCUUAAACCAAACAGCUCCUGUUUUCCACUAAAAAUGUCCCAACAGGAAAUUAGAGGCACUUCAGUUUUCUUUUCUGAAGUCCCAGAAAUUGCUUUGGGCUCCAUGGGAAUUGGCUCUGCUUGUCACGAGGCUGUCCUAUGUCAGUUUAGGGGCCCUCCCCUGCUAACUGCUGUACACAUCUGUCACUUGUUUGGAUGGGGUCCAUGCAAUUAACAAAAGAAAACUUGUGAAUGAAAGUGUCCCAAAGCCCCAACUGGAAGGCCAUGGAGGCUGCUUUGGCAGGGAUGGUGCAGUUGGUAGAGAAUUAAAAACACACUUAUAUCAAGCAAUAAGGCAGUUGACUCAGUGACCAAAAGAUUAAAGGUAAGAUGUAGCAUGUUCCAGAAGAGCUUUCUGUGUGCCAUUCCUCUGGGCUCAACCCCCCCCCCCACUCCGUAGAUGACAUCUACUGUGUGGAUGACAUCUUUGUCUACAGGCUAUUAUCCAAUCACAUUAGUUGAACAGAGGGAUAGGCCCCUUCACCAGCACAUGUCAGAAAAACAUCUUAGGUAUGAUGCCAUCAACCAAAUGAAGCCAAGCAUCUGUGCCUGAACCUCUGUUAGGGUGGUGAAUGUGGAAGGUCCUCCAUAGGCUCAUGUAUCUGAACACUUGGUUUCCAGUUGGUGGUACUGUUUGGAGAGGUUAUGGAGCCAUAAAUAUAUAGAUGCCAGGAAUGCAAAGUCUUGCUCCCCCCACACUUGCACAAUAAUCACUUUACAGAGAGACUCUCCCCAGCCCCAAGCAGGCAUUGUCCUUUAAAAAGGCUGUAGAUAUGAAAGAGAGUUGAAAAGAAGUUGAAGGCCACUAUGUACUAGGAGCCAUUUGACUUCAGCUCAUCUCCAGGGUGGAUUUUUAGCAUGCGGGGGCUACUGCAUGGCAGGCAAUUGGUUCUUGAUGAGGGGUCCUCACCAGGUUUUAUUUGCCAGGUGAGUGGGUCUCCUUAUGCUUUGUGGACUCAGGAUGCUAGCACUCUCUCAUGCAGGGCAUCCUUUGAUUCCAUCUUUUGUUACAUUCUAUGCUUACCUCCCACAACCCCCAAUAGAUUGUCCUUUUCAAGCUUUUCUUCUCCAAUGCUCUACUUUGGUGUAUAAUAGUUUUCUUUUUAAGAAUCAGGGGCUACUACAUUGCCUGAAUUUUUGUGAUGAAAGACACCAGUAUUUCGACUUUUCUAUUUUAAGGAAUACUGGAACCAUAUGUGACUUUCCCUUUGAGCUGUUUUCCACAGACUUUAGCAUGAAGGGCUACUUGACACUUCCUCCUGCCUCUGCCCCUGCCUUGCCCUCCCUCUUUCCCCUUUCUUCUCACCCCUUCUUCAUUCUCUCCCUCCGUUCUCAUCCCCUUCCCCUCCACUGCCUUCCUCUCUACCCUGCUCUGACCUCUAUGUUCUUCUCAUCCCUUUUCCCCUCCCAUAUUUAAUCCCCUCGCCUUCCUCUUCUCUUCUUCCUUCCUUCAAUGUGGCCCCACCCACCACUCUCCUCCCCCUGCACCCCUUAUCUUCUCUCAGUUUCUUUUUCCUUUUUUAAUACUUCUAGAGUGAACUGGCAGUGAGAUUGUCUUUAAAGAUACACUCAAUAUGAAUGUUUCUCAUAUUCCCUGAGCUCAGUUGUUAUUUAAGAUUGUCAGCCUGUUGAAUUGCGCAAAUGUGGAAGUGGGUGGCCCCAAAUUUCAGCUUUCCACUUUCAGUGCCCUCAGUGGUUCGGUCAUCCCUUGAACCGAAGCAGACUUAGGAGGAGUCUGAAUCCAGGUAAGUCAUGAGUCCUCCUUGCUUUCCUCUAUGAGUGUGUUGAGUCAUUUCCUACAGGCUGUAGGUCACAUGUAAGGUACAGAGGGAUGGGCUUCCAGGACAGCAGAAGGAUGGAGGGAGCAAGAGCUUCUUCAGAGGGAGUGAGCUUCUGUUGCUCUGGCUGCCCCAGAGACAGAGGGAUGACUAAGGUAAGGGGCAGAGAAUAUAUGGAAGGAAGAGUCAUGGAGUCAAGAUGAGGUCAAGGAGAGUGAGGGCUCCGUGAGGUGCUGACAAAGGACACCUUUAGAAACAAGGGUGUGAAUGCUGACGUUUACAUAGAAACUUUAGAACAGUAUCUCCUUCCCUAUGGGGUGUCUUGGCCAGAUCCCACUCUGCAAACUGCUUCCCACUGCUGCUCAAAAAGUUUACUGCAGUCCCUUUCCUGGGACAUUGCCCGAAGCUGAUUACAUCUCCUCACAGCCCAAGAUUGGCUCAAGGCAGGAUUGAGAGGUGGGAAAGUUUGGGGAACACUGGAAGGGAAAAGAGACUUUCAUCCAGGCUGACUGGCAUGAAGGAACUUCUAGCCUGCCCUCGUGGAACAGGCCUGUAGUCCCAGCUGGAGACGAGGCAAGAGGAUCACAGGAUCAAGCCAAGCUUGGGUUACUUGGCCAGAUCCUAUCUUAAAAAUGAAAACAAACGAACAAACAAACAGACAAAUAAAUAAAUAAAUGGCAAAGACAGCUGGGACACAGCUUAAUGGUGGUGCCUUUGUCUAGAUUGUGCUGGGCCCUAGGUUCAAGCCCCAGGACAGAAAACACAAAACAUGAAAUAAUUUCAGCACAACUAAAAAAAGCAACAAAAAUCAGUGAAGAUUUUUUAAUUCCUCUUGUGAAUCACUUCAAGAAAAAAAUGUUAAACUAGCAAGGAACUAUAUUUAAGGUCAAAACACAGGAUGACCCUUGAGUUUGAACUUGCUCCCUUUUCAUCUGUAUAAACUUGCCAUUUUCUGAGACUCUAAUCAAUAAGAAGAUGAACCAAGAUUAUUCUGACCUAUAGAUAGCAAGAACUGCUCUGACUUUUUAAAAAAUAUUUACUUUUUAAUUUUUAUUUAUGUGCACAUGAGUGUAAUACAGGUACCCAGAGCGUUCAGAAGAGGGCACCAUAACCCCAGGAACUAGAGUUACCGGAGGCUGUGAACCACCUGACAUGGGUGCUGGCAACAGAACUUGGGUCCUCUGGAAGAGCCACAAGUACUCUCAACCACUCUCCAGGCCUGACCUAUGUGUCUUACUAUCUUGUCAGCCUGCAAACUUGCACAGUAUGCCUUAUAAACCCCUUAUAACCUCACUUACUAAACAAAAUUUCCUUAGACAUUUUAAAAUCUUUUUUAUUUAAAUUAGAAACAUGAAUGCUUCAAAUAUCAAUCCCAGCUCCCCCCUUCUCCCUCCACCAGCCCCACCCCACCCCCCACCCCCAGCCCAAUCCCCACAUCAUUCCCCAGGGAGGGUGAGGCCCUCCUUGGGGGGAUCUCCAGAGUCUGUCCUUAGACAUUUUUUGUAAUCUUUUUAUGUAAUCUUUUAUUUCCUUUGAACUCAAUAACUUCAAAAGUCACCAAAAUCAUAUAGUUCUGUUAGGACACUCACACUUAACUGAGAUUCUCUUGAAGCUUGUGCCUCAAGAGUGUGCACACCUGUCCUUUUGUUAGGUCUUGUAUCCACUUCCUUUUCUGAAGUACUUAGCAUUGAGUAUAGGGCUUCAUGCAUGCUAGCUCUGCUACUGAACUAUGUGUCGAACCACACACACACACACACACACACACUCACACACUUUUCUUAAAAUUUUGAGAUGGAGUAUCACUAAGUUGCCUAGACUGGAUUUGAACUUGUGAUCCUCCUGCCUCACCCUUGUGAAUACCUGGUAUUAAAUUCCAACUUUGCUUCAUGGUGACUCAUCCUGGAAAUCCCUUGUGUGGCUUGAGUGAAGAAGCAGGAAACAGUUGACUGAGUUCUCAGGAGAACAUCUCCACACUGCCAAGGGAUCAUGAGGACUGGCUACAGUCCUGAGAAUCUGACUUUCAGCAAAGCCUCCCAAAGGGCCCAAAUUUCGGAGACUUGGAGUUACAGUUGUGCCUGUAAACAUAUGAACACAUUACAAAGUUCUGGAAAGCACACAGAACAGCUCUGUCGGAGUGUCAGCUCCAUGCUAGGACUCUCCACCACUGAAUGGCCCACACUGAAGGACCACAUCCUCACUGCAACUCAGUCACCCAGAUGAGGACCUCAUGCAAUCCAAAUGGUGCUUCGGUAGAGUUCAUGACUUGCAACUCCUUUACCCCAUCUCACUGAGGGGAAUGCCUAGAGAGAGAGAGACCUUCGUGGAGCAUGGGAGAAGUUCACAUAUGGGAUGUGGCUACUAAGGAGACCUUGAUGACAAUACCAGCCCUUGUCAGGAUACUUUCCUGUCAAUAGGAUCACCAUUGUCCUCCUGGAUCUCCACACGGCCCUGCUGGCAUAUCCCCCUUACAGGGCUCCAUGUCUGCUGUGGCUUCCUCAGUGCCCCAGUGGCACAGCUGAGUACUUGUAUAGCAGAGAUUUCAUUGCCCACACAGAACAAAGGGUUUGCCAUCUUGUUCUCAUAAGAAAAGCAAACAACAAAUAAUUUGUCAAGACAAACAAAUAACAACAAACGAUGCAAUGAGCAUCAUUUGUAUGUUGAGUUAGUGAUCAUCUAAACCACAUCCUUCGGUGGGCUGACAGGAGACUUACAGAAGCUCCUUAAAUAUAGAUAAGAUCUGCAUAAUGACAACUCCAGCUGGCAUGCCAGUGUGGAUGAAGACUCUCACAAGCCCACCCCUCUAUGAAGAAAAGGGAACGACAGGCAAUCAUUAGCUGCUAAGAGAAUCAAGAGAAUCCGUUUUCUCCAGGAACCAGCCUCCUGACAGCCUCUCCAAAGCCAAGUGGUCUCCUGGGACAUAUAUAUUUAAGAGCCUCACUAAAUGCAUGUGGGGGGGUUGAAUAAAGUGGCCCCAUGGGCUCAUAUAUUUGCAUGCCUAAUCCCAAAUUGCAAUUGUUUUGGGAAGGACUAGGGGGUGUGACCUUGUUGAAGGAGGUGUGUCACUGGGGCUGAGUUUUGAAGUUUCAAAAGCCCAUACCAGGACCAGUCUCUUUCUCUCUGUCUCUCUCUGUCACUCUCUGUCUCUGUCUCU